CCGGCCCAAGGAGGGGCCUGCCCCCGCCCCCACCCCGGCGGGGACCCUCCCUCCUCCCUUCCCCGAGCGGAUCCUGGUUCCGUGGAGUCCAGCCCGGGAGCCUCCAGCCAGGAGGCCGCGGUGUCUUGGCAGCAAAUUUUGCACAACCGGGGCGGUUUCCUCGCCGCACUGCGCGGCCCGGCGGGCGGGCGGGAACUAGGGUCUCCUUAGUGGUGGCCGUCGUGUGGCUUUGCCUCUCUCCCCCGCCCGCUUCGGCCCCUCGUUUUCAGACCCGAAGUCGCAGGCAUGCAGCCGGCCCCCCUUCCGAGCCUCUCGCGUGCGUGCGUUUUUAAAACAAACUCACCCCAAAGCCCCGCAGUGCACGGAUGGGAGGCUGCUCUGAAGCUCCCAGCUCCGGGCGGGGGUUGGGGGGAGGACAAGGGCGCAUGCGUGCCUCCCCCACGCGUGCCCCCAGCGCCCGCACCCCUCGUCCUGAGCUUCCAGGCGGGCGGCUCCCGUGGCUCCCGCCUCUGUUCCCAUCCCGGGCCCCAGCACCUUGGAGGCGUUUGCUCGUCAGGAGAAAACACUCCCAGCCCCGGAGACGGUCCUCGUGGGUGUCAGGCCUUCCACCUGGGGCCUUGCUGAGGAGGACGGGCCAAGGCGGGGUGCCCCCUGCCCGUGUUCGCCUCCGGUGGCCCGGCUGUCUCUCCCCAUGGGUCAGAGUCUCACCGUGCAUGUGCAUCUCGCAGAAGCCGGCACCGCUGUCUUAUAAAUGGGACUUGUGCUCUUGGGGCAGCUUAAAGUGUCUUUCUCGCUGCUAGCGGACGAUUGAUGUCGUGUCUCUGUGACCCACACACCGUGUAAAGAAUUAACCUCAUAUCUCAGCAGACGUCGUCUCCUAAUAUUUCCCUUUAUUUAAUAAAAAUGUUAUGGCGAAAA